rnacentral:rRNA from 1 species
GACGAACGCUGGCGGCGUGCUUAACACAUGCAAGUCGAGCGGAGCGGAGAACGGGUGAGUAACGCGGGAGUAACUGCCCCCCUCUCUGGGAUAAGAGUUGGAAACGGCUGCUAAUACGGGACAGUGGGGGAUGACUCGCGUCCUAUCAGCUUGUGGGUGGGGUAGUGGCCUACCAAGGGGACGACGGGUAGCCGGCCUGAGAGUGCGACCGGCCACCUUGGGCUGGGGUACGGCCCAAACUCCUACGGGAGGCAGCAGUUGGGAAUAUUGCACAAUGGGGGAAACCCUGAUGCAGUAACGCCGCGUGCGGGAUGACGGCCUUCGGGUUGUAAACCGCUCUCAGCCAUGACGCGGUAGUGGCAGAAGAAGCACCGGCUAACUACGUGCCAGCCGCCGCGGUAAUAC